CAUACCGUAAACGAUGAAUGCUAAGUGUUGGAGGGUUUCCGCCCUUCAGUGCUGCAGCUAACGCAUUAAGCAUUCCGCCUGGGGAGUACGGCCGCAAGGCUGAAACUCAAAGGAAUUGAC
rnacentral:rRNA from 1 species